rnacentral:tRNA from 1 species
GCCUAGUAAGCUUGGUUGAUAGAGCGUCUGCCAUGUAAGCAUAAGGCCGCGGGUUCAAUUUCCGCCCUGGGCG